UACGUAGGGGGCAAGCGUUGUCCGGAUUUAUUGGGCGUAAAGAGCGUGUAGGCGGCCAUGCAGGUCAGCUGUGAAAACUCGAUGGCUCAACCUCGAGAUGUCGGUUGAAACCGUAUGGCUAGAGUCCGGAAGAGGAGAGUGGAAUUCCCGGUGUAGCGGUGAAAUGCGCGGAUAUCGGGAAGAACACCCGUGGCGAAGGCGGCUCUCUGGGACGGUACUGACGCUGAGACGCGAAAGCGUGGGGAGCGAACAGG
rnacentral:rRNA from 1 species